rnacentral:tRNA from 1 species
GUAGUGGUGGUUCAGUGGUAGAAUUCUUGCCUCCCAUGCAGGAGACCCGGGUUCAAUUCCUGGCCAGUGCA